UCGUAUUUGGGGUUUUCAAUCUGUUAUUAUGUAUCACAUUUCACAGGACUGUUUUAACAUCUGUAUAUUUGUCGGAUUUCACAGGACUAUUUUAUGAUCUGUAAUUCCUUGUACUCCAUUUUAUUGUGUUUUGGUGAACUUGGAUGAUUGUUUGUAAGAAUUGGUGAUUUAUUUGUGGUUUUGAUUAUUUUAAUCAAUUAUUACAUGGAUUUUGAUUUGUUCCAUCAUUUUGGGAUGUAUUCCUUUUGUGUUCAAGUCAAAAUGAAAAAUAGUUUUGUUGGUUAGGAUUUUGAUAUGUACAAAAUGUUACUCUUAACUCUUUUGCAAAUACAAGUCUUAAAUUUGUGGGUAAGAAGGUAGCUCUGUGUAAUAAUCAUGGGUUAUUUGGAUUUACUAAAACCGGCAUCAGGUGUCAAACGUAUAUGCAUCUAUGUUUGCCAUAAUGAAUGUUAUGCUUGUCAUUGGGUAUAUUUGUUAGGGUACUGUUAGGGAUAAGUUGAAGAACAUGUUAUCGAUUCUCAGUCCUCAUUCUACCUUCUUAAGUGCUUCUAGUUCACACUUUAUAGAAUCAUGUAUCUAUUCUAAUUCGCAAGGUUUCUACCUGUUAAUAUGUGUGUCAUGCUUAAAAAAUAUGCUUGAUUGACACUAGAUUGUGGUGUGGCUCUGAUGUUUACUUUUAGUUUAAAAUUAAUAUUUAGUGAAAUUGUUGGGUUAACAAAAUAAAUAUGAUUGAUGACUUACUUUGUGCCAGCUGCAUUCACAACAUUUUGAAUUUUUUGUUCCGUUUGUAAUACUAAUUUCUUUUCACAGUGCAUCAACAUUGAACUUCCAUGCUUAAUAUCUUGUAUUCGUGUCUUUGGGAUUUGCUUGACAUAAUGCUGUUAUAUAUCAACCAGGUGGUCUAUUUUUCUUAUGUGGUGGUUAGUAAGCUUAUAGAGGAAGUUUUAUUGUUUUGUACAAGAUGGAAGAUCAACAAAAUGGGAAGCAGGGGUAAUUUUCAGGACCUUCAGCUUGCCUCUUCAGACCUGGUGAGCAGCCUUACAGUCCUGGGCAGUAGCUCCAUAGAAUUGGUUACCAUCCUUCUUACCUUUGGGGCAGUUGCAUAGGACCGGGGAUCAUUACAGACCAGAGGAGCAACUCUCUAGACCUGGGUAACAACUCUUUGAACCUGACGAGAAGCUCUACAUACCUUGGACUGAUUCGGGAGCGCUUUGGAAUAGACGACUGGAUCGGGUUUAACAUGGAAUAACUAUAGUUUGAUGUAUGAAGUUUCUCUACUUUAGAGUGGUUAACAUUGAAGUCUAGAGAUUGUGUCAAUUUAUUUAUUUUUCUCCUUAUGCUAAAGCUGGAUUCACUAAGUAUACAUUGUUACAUUUACAUUCUGUUUAA